rnacentral:rRNA from 1 species
GAUGAACGCUGGCGGCGUGCCUAAUACAUGCAAGUCGAGCGAACGGACGAGAAGCUUGCUUUUCUGAUGUUAGCGGCGGACGGGUGAGUAACACGUGGAUAACCUACCGAUAAGACUGGGAUAACUUCGGGAAACCGGAGCUAAUACCGGAUAAUAUUUUGAACCGCAUGGUUCAAAAGUGAAAGACGGUCUUGCUGUCACUUAUAGAUGGAUCCGCGCUGCAUUAGCUAGUUGGUAAGGUAACGGCUUACCAAGGCAACGAUGCAUAGCCGACCUGAGAGGGUGAUCGGCCACACUGGAACUGAGACACGGUCCAGACUCCUACGGGAGGCAGCAGUAGGGAAUCUUCCGCAAUGGGCGAAAGCCUGACGGAGCAACGCCGCGUGAGUGAUGAAGGUCUUCGGAUCGUAAAACUCUGUUAUUAGGGAAGAACAUAUGUGUAAGUAACUGUGCACAUCUUGACGGUACCUAAUCAGAAAGCCACGGCUAACUACGUG